rnacentral:rRNA from 1 species
GAUGAACGCUGGCGGCGUGCCUAAUACAUGCAAGUCGAGCGGACGGACGAGGAGCUUGCUUCUCUGAUGUUAGCGGCGGACGGGAGAGUAACACGUGGAUAACCUCCCUAUAAGACUGGUAUAACUUCGGGAAACCGUAGCUAAUACCAGAUAAUCUUUUGAACCGCAUGGUUCAAAAGUGAAAGACGGUCUUGCUGUCUCUUAUCGAUGCAUCCGCGCUGCAUUAGCUAGUUGGUAAGGUAACGGCUUACCAAGGCUACGAUGCAUAGCCGACCUGAGAGGGGGAUCGGCCACACUGGAACUGAGACACGGUCCAGACUCCUACGGGAGGCAGCAGUAGGGAAUGUUCGGCAAUGGGCGAAAGCCUGACGGAGCAACGCCGCGUGAGUGAUGAAGGUCUUCGGAUCGUAAAACUCUGUUAUUAGGGAAGAACAGAUGUGUAAGUAACUGUGCACAUCUUGACGGUACCUAAUCAGAAAGCCACGGCUAACUACGUG